GACGUAGGUGGCGAACGUUAUCCGGAAUUAUUGGGCGUAAAGGGUGGGUAGAUGGCUUGAUAAGUUAGCAGUGGGAAAUCGAGGCUCAACCUCGUGGAAGCUGGUAAUACUGUCAGGCUCGAGUGCAGGAGAGGUUAACGGAACUCCAUGUGGAGCGGUAAAAUGUGUAGAUAUAUGGAAGAACACCAAUAACGGCGAAGGCAGUUAACUAUUCUGUUACUGACAUUGAGGCACGAAAGCGUGGGGAGCAAAACGG
rnacentral:rRNA from 1 species